rnacentral:rRNA from 1 species
UGGGGAAUUUUGGACAAUGGACGCAAGUCUGAUCCAGCCAUGCCGCGUGCGGGAAGAAGGCCUUCGGGUUGUAAACCGCUUUUGUCAGGGAAGAAACGAGUUCCUCUAAUACAGAGACUUAAUGACGGUACCUGAAGAAUAAGCACCGGCUAACUACGUGCCAGCAGCCGCGGUAAUACGUAGGGUGCAAGCGUUAAUCGGAAUUACUGGGCGUAAAGCGUGCGCAGGCGGUUAUAUAAGACAGAUGUGAAAUCCCCGGGCUCAACCUGGGAACUGUAUUUGUGACUGUAUAGCUAGAGUACGGCAGAGGGGGAUGGAAUUCCGCGUGUAGCAGUGAAAUGCGUAGAUAUGCGGAGGAACACCCAUGGCGAAGGCAAUCCCCUGGGCCUGUACUGACGCUCAUGCACGAAAGCGGGGGGAGCAAACA